GCCCUCGUAGCCCAAUCGGCAGAGGCCCGGGUCUCAAACACCCGCCAGUGUGGGUUCGAAUCCCACCGAGGGCA
rnacentral:tRNA from 1 species